UACGUAGGGGGCAAGCGUUGUCCGGAAUUAUUGGGCGUAAAGAGCGUGUAGGCGGUCCGGUAAGUCAGCUGUGAAAGUCAAGGGCUCAACCCUUGAAUGCCGGUUGAUACUGUCGGGCUAGAGUCCGGAAGAGGCGAGUGGAAUUCCUGGUGUAGCGGUGAAAUGCGCAGAUAUCAGGAGGAACACCAAUGGCGAAGGCAGCUCGCUGGGACGGUACUGACGCUGAGGCGCGAAAGCGUGGGGAGCAAACAGG
rnacentral:rRNA from 1 species